rnacentral:rRNA from 1 species
UACGUAGGGACCAAGCGUUGUUCGGAUUUACUGGGCGUAAAGGGCGCGUAGGCGGCUUAACAAGUCACUUGUGAAAUCUCCGGGCUUAACUCGGAACGGCCAAGUGAAACUGUCAAGCUAGAGUGCAGAAGGGGCAAUCGGAAUUCUUGGUGUAGCGGUGAAAUGCGUAGAUAUCUGGAGGAACACCGGUGGCGAAGGCGGCAUCCUGGACCAACACUGACGCUGAGUGAGCGAAAGCCAGGGGAGCAAACGGG